UACGUAGGGUGCGAGCGUUGUCCGGAAUUAUUGGGCGUAAAGAGCUCGUAGGCGGACUGUCACGUCUGCUGUGAAAAGCUGGGGCUUAACCCUGGCCUUGCAGUGGAUACGGGCAGACGUAGAGGUAGGUAGGGGAGAAUGGAAUUCCCGGUGUAGCGGUGAAAUGCGCAGAUAUCAGGAGGAACACCGGUGGGCGAAGGCGGAUCUCUGGGCCUUACCUGACGCUGGAGGAAGCGAAAGCAUAGGGAGCAAACAGG
rnacentral:rRNA from 1 species